rnacentral:rRNA from 1 species
UACGUAGGGUGCAAGCGUUGUCCGGAAUUAUUGGGCGUAAAGAGCUCGUAGGCGGUUUGUCGCGUCUGCUGUGAAAACUCGGGGCUUAACUCCGGGCCUGCAGUGGGUACGGGCAGACUAGAGUGCGGUAGGGGAGACUGGAAUUCCUGGUGUAGCGGUGAAAUGCGCAGAUAUCAGGAGGAACACCGGUGGCGAAGGCGGGUCUCUGGGCCGUAACUGACGCUGAGGAGCGAAAGCGUGGGGAUCAAACAGG